GAUGAAGAACGUAGCGAAAUGCGAUACUUGGUGUGAAUUGCAGAAUCCCGUGAACCAUCGAGUCUUUGAACGCAAGUUGCGCCUCAAGCCAUUAGGUUGAGGGCACGUCUUCCUGGGCGUCACAUAUCGUUGCCUGAUGCCAGUUUCCUCGUGAUGGGUGACUGUGCAGGGCGAAUGAUGGCUUCCCGUGAGCAUUGUUGCCUCAUGGUUGGUUGAAAAUUGAGUCCUUGGUAGGGAGCGCCGUGAUAGAUGGUGGUUGAGUGACGAACGAGACCCAAUCAUGUGAGACCCCUACCGAAUUUGGCCUUCAUGACCCACAUGCGUCUUUGGAACGCUCAUGACGAGACCUCAGGUCAGGCGGGGCUACCCGCUGAGUUUAAGCAUAUCAAUAAGCGGAGGA
rnacentral:misc_RNA from 1 species